UACGGAGGGUGCAAGCGUUAAUCGGAAUUACUGGGCGUAAAGCGCGCGUAGGCGGCUGAUUAAGUCGGAUGUGAAAGCCCCGGGCUCAACCUGGGAACUGCAUACGAUACUGGUCGGCUAGAGUAUGAGAGAGGGAGGUAGAAUUCCACGUGUAGCGGUGAAAUGCGUAGAUAUGUGGAGGAAUACCGGUGGCGAAGGCGGCCUCCUGGCUUAAUACUGACGCUGAGGUGCGAAAGCGUGGGGAGCAAACAGC
rnacentral:rRNA from 1 species